AAAUUAUAAACCUCUCACAGCUAUGGGUAGGAAAUAUACUCUUAUUCUUACCCAAACAAGAGAUAGAGGCAGUUACAAAAGAUAAAAUAGGUAACUUUGAUUAUACAACACAAAAAAAACUUCUGCACAGACAAAAUUAAUGCACAUAGGAUAAGGGAAGAGGUCAAAUGGGAAAAAAUACAUUGUCGGUGGAUCUAUGAAAGGGUACAACCUUCUUGGAACUCAAUUUGAAAUUAUGCAAAUAAAGUGACUAAAAUGUCCAUACCCCUUGAACCAGAGACUCCAUUACCAGGAUUAUACUCCAAGGAAGCCAUUGAUAAGAAGAAAGUCUUCAUAUAUACCAAUAUAUUUAUAACAGUACUUUUUGUGAUAGCCAAGAACUGGAAACAAAGUAGAUGCCCAUCAACUGGGGAGUGGCUAAACAAAUUAUAGUUCAUGAAAGCAAUGGAAUAUUACUGUACUGCAAGAAAUUAUAUUUGUACUCAGGGAAAAUUAGUAUGAUCUUUCAGGAGAAGAGACGGAUAUUCAACGAAAUAGGGGACUUCCAAACCUUCCUGAUAAAAAGACCAGAGCUCAACAGAAAAUUUGAUCUUCAAAUACAACACUCAAGAGAGACAUAAAAAGGACUGGCACCCUAUCCACUGUGCUGAUGGGAUGAUGGGACCUGGACCCUGAACUUUCCCACAAUGGGAUUUUUGUCUUCCAGAUUACUGGCCUUUCACCUACUGUUGGGUACCAGUGGGUACCAGCCCACGCUCACCUAUCAUCCCCUGGAUGCAGCCUUUACUCAGUUCCAGCCAACCUCCUCCCUGGAACGCCCUCAAGGCAGGGCCAGCUCUACCGACCUUUGCCAGCAUGAAGCAGUUGCUGAGAUCUUCGCCCUUUACCUCAAAAGAUUUUGGGUCCCAUUUGUUUGAGUCCUGUGCUUUGUUGGCACUCAGCCUGGAAUUCCUGCCUCCUUGGUUGAUAACUGAAUGGGUGUGAAAUUACCUAGGCCACCAUCCCUAGCCUGGGGACACCCAGGCCAACUGGCCACAUGCACUUCUGCCCCUUCCUUCCUUCUACCCACCUGGAUCUGCAUCUGAACUGAACUUCUAGAUUUUCUCCAAACAUUGAGGAAGUUACUCCACUUAGCUUUAGAGCUAUUGACCUAGGAUUGAGCCCCCUUGAGUGGAAGGAGAGUGAUAAAUUUGCCUAGUCUGGCCCCAGACCAGCUAUCAUAGUAUGUAUCUUAUUCAGCCUUCCAGCCAGACUGCCUUGUGAAAUGGCUAACUACCACCUCACCUACCCAUAUGCUGUAAGUGUUUAACAAGUGGCUUUCUUUCCAGGUUAGGAGGGGCGAGGGAUUUGUGCACAACACACUUCUGAGUUUAAUCUGCAUUAUGGACAUUUUCUCCUUUACUUUAUGAAGUCUAGACAAUCAACAAAACAGUAAGUCAAGCCCUAAUUUAUGUUUGCCAUUUUCUGAGAUGUAAAUAUUCACACUGAUAAUUUAACAAUCAGUGGGACUGGCUUCAGCACCGCACCCUCCCACCCCCCAUACUCCUUCCCCACCUCUUAACUCUGGACACAGUAAUCAAAUCAAUGCUACAACAUAGCUUCUGGAGAGGGCAUAUCAGAUGACUGCCCUAUGGAUCAAUUACCCAGUCUUCUGACUCCCCAGAGCAAAGCCCCCUUCCCUGACUAUCAAAUCCUUCUGUGUCAUCUGCCCCUUAGAAUGUAGAUUCCCUAAUUGAAGGGGACUGGAAGAGGGUUGGGUAGAAAGUAGAGAACGUGAACCUGAAAAUAAAAUUGAAUUUUAAAAAAAAAUUACA
rnacentral:lncRNA from 1 species